AGGGUUCGAUUCUGGCUCAGGAUGAACGCUAGCGACGGGCUUAACACAUGCAAGUCGAGGGGCAUCACGGGAGUAGCGAUACGAACUGGUGGCGACCGGCGCACGGGUGAGUAACGCGUAUGCAACCUACCUAUCAGAGGGGAAUAACCCGGCGAAAGUCGGACUAAUACCGCAUAAAACAGGGGCACCGCAUGGUGAUAUUUGUUAAAGAAAUUCGCUGAUAGAUGGGCAUGCGUUCCAUUAGGUAGUUGGUGAGGUAACGGCUCACCAAGCCGACGAUGGAUAGGGGAACUGAGAGGUUGGUCCCCCACACUGGUACUGAGACACGGACCAGACUCCUACGGGAGGCAGCAGUGAGGAAUAUUGGUCAAUGGGCGGGAGCCUGAACCAGCCAAGUCGCGUGAAGGAAAAGAAGGAUCUAUGGUUCGUAAACUUCUUUUGCAGGGGAAUAAAGUGCAGGACGUGUCCUGUUUUGUAUGUACCCUGAGAAUAAGGAUCGGCUAACUCCGUGCCAGCAGCAGC
rnacentral:rRNA from 1 species